CUAGAUUAACUCAACACAAAAUCCCAACACAUGUCAAGAAUCACAUUCCAUUAUUCCUUUGAAUUACUCUGUAGAUGGCCUCAAUUCACCUUUAAAAGCGGGUUGGUCCCUCCCACCAGCUCCAUGGGAACCGUGACUUUUUGACAACAGUAUGGACGAACCGAAAGGCAAAGGAGGAUUAAAGUGACAGAGCGCAUGGACACGCCUGCUGGUGACAUCGGCUCUUGGUGUGGUUACAUCGUUCCGUGUCGUCAGUGGCGAACCGAACUGCAGUCUGUCCUACACAGUUUUGACGGAUAAUUGCGUCUACUCUCACCUUUACUUAAAGAACACUUUGCUUGUCAUUUUGCAUCAAAGCAACAGAGAUGUAAAGCAAUUUACAAUACCGCAGCUUCCUCUUCAUUUGAUAUGCAGUUACUGACAUAACCAGGAGCGCUGAAGUGAGAGUGCAAGGGGGAAGAUGGACGUCCAGACUGGCAUCCAGCAGGCAGCGGAGCCCCUCCCCGCUUCCCUCCAUCAGCCCGGGACCUGUCAGCACAGUGAGCUAGGGGACAGCCAGACAGGGGGAGACGCCAGGCCCCCUGCUGACGACCACAGCAAGGAGACUCAGCCAGCCGCAGGCCAGCGUGACGACAAAAAGGGAAGAUGCAUCCGGUUGUCAUGGCAAUGAGCUACAAGCAGUUAGAGAACGUGACUUUUCCUGGAGGCCACACUGUGCUGUGAAGGUUACAAGGAAAGAAAUAC
rnacentral:lncRNA from 1 species